rnacentral:rRNA from 1 species
GACGAACGCUGGCGGCGUGCUCAACACAUGCAAGUCGAACGGUAAGGCCCUUCGGGGUACACGAGUGGCGAACGGGUGAGUAACACGUGGGUGAUCUGCCCUGCACUUCGGGAUAAGCCUGGGAAACUGGGUCUAAUACCGGAUAGGACUCCGGACUGCAUGGUCUGGGGUGAAAAGCUUUUGCGGUGUGGGAUGGGCCCGCGGCCUAUCAGCUUGUUGGUGGGGUGAUGGCCUACCAAGGCGACGACGGGUAGCCGGCCUGAGAGGGUGACCGGCCACACUGGGACUGAGAUACGGCCCAGACUCCUACGGGAGGCAGCAGUGGGGAAUAUUGCACAAUGGGCGAAAGCCUGACGCAGCAACGCCGCGUGCGGGAUGACGGCCUUCGGGUUGUAAACCGCUUUCAGCAGGGAAGAAGCCGCAAGGUGACGGUACCUGCAGAAGAAGCACCGGCUAACUACGUGCCAGCAGCCGCAGUAA